ACUUACCUGGCAGGGAGAUACCAUGAUCACGAAGGUGUUUUCUCUCCAGGGCGUGGUCUAUCCAUUGAGGCGCACUCCGUGGAUGCUGACCCCUGCGAUUUCCUCCAAAUGCGGGAAACUCGACUGCAUAAUUUGUGGUAGUGCGGGGGACUGUUCGCGCUCCUCUCG
rnacentral:snRNA from 14 species